rnacentral:lncRNA from 1 species
CCACCUCUGUAUCUGUCCUAGACUAAAUUGAAUUUUAUUUAUUUGGGCCUUAGGCCCAUCUUCCACCUGUCCUAAAUUCUAACAAGAUAAUAUUAAAUAAAAUGACAAAGGCUUAGGCCCAAAGCAACAAAAUACAAUUUUUGGAAUCAAGAAUGGGCCUUGGCCCCCUUUCUCAUUUUUCGUCCAUAUCGGCUCCGAUUCC